rnacentral:lncRNA from 1 species
GAAAAGUUGGUGCGCAUGUUAUACUAUGUUAAUUGUUGACAUGUACAUUGAACCUGGACACUAUUUUAUUUGAAACCUUAUCCCAAGUAAUGUUAUCAGUUUGCUUUUUGUCAGUUUCUGAAUUGGGAUCACCUAAACGGCGGGCCGUGCAAUCUUUUUAUGCCAGAUCAUCAGUCGGAUUUUUGUCAAAAAAAUAACAUCGAACAAAUAAGUAUGUCCUCCUCUUAUAUCUUAAACUUUUAGAUAAGAUGAUGGUUUAAUAAUAGUAACGCAUAAGAGUUGAACAAGAAGCUUAAUCAGCAACUCCAUGAAUAUGUGAUUGGAUCAUUUUAUCUCUUUCAUUUCAUUGGUGGGAUUGUGUUCGAUUUGUUAAAUUACCUUAAUAUUAGCUGUAAAUCAUUGUAUGAUUCUUUAUAUAAUUCUUUCUUAUUUUAUUUUAGGAAUGACUAGCUUAUUAGAGAGGAAUGAUUUGCUAUGUAAAUCCUAUAUAAUUUGGAUUGGUUUAUAGGCAAAUGCAUGAAUGAAAAAUAUCUUUCAUCAUCAUUCAAGAUGGUAUCAGAGCUUCAAAAUUGAUUUUGUUUCCGUUGAUUUUGUUCCUGGUUUCAGAAAAUUUUCAAACCUGUAAUCCUUGAACCCAUCCAAAAAGGCCAGAAAACCAAUCCCUACCUCUUCCAUUCAGCAAUCAUGAAUGAAAGUAGUGCAUCUUCAGAAACAAAUCCGUUCCUAUAAUUGUUCAAUCAGAAAAUGUGUUCAAUGCAGGGAUCAUUCUUACAGAAUCAAACUAUGAUAUUUGGUCUGAGAUCAUGGAGAUGCACACUACUGAAAGAGAAAAAUUAUCCUACAUUCAUGGGAAGAAAGACCCCUUGCAGA